GGAAAAGCAGUCGUUGUGUGCACAGAAAUCGGCCAUGGAAGGAGGCGCACAGUAUAAUCCUCGCACUGUGGAGGAAGUUUUGAAGGAUUUGAAAGGCCGUCGUGCCGGUUUGAUCAAAGCCCUUACCACUGAUGUGGAGGAAUUUUAUCAACAGUGUGACCCUGAAAAGGAAAAUCUUUGCCUCUAUGGAUUUCCAAGCGAGCAAUGGGAAGUCAAUUUGCCAGCUGAG
rnacentral:misc_RNA from 1 species